CCAGCACAGGAAGAAACGGCUGCGAAUGCUUCGAGGCAAUAUCCAGCGCCCCUGGUCGAGGAUUCAAGUGAAAACACCACACCCGUACGUCGAGCAGCCCACAAUCUCACACCCGCAGGCAGAGAUAGUCACAGUCUCUCAGGGAGCAAACAGUGUCUCAGUGGAGUGCUUCCUAGCUUACUCGAGCUGUGAACCCGUGAUCUCGCCAACUGAAGCCGUCCCUGACUGUGAUCCGCCCACACGGCUUGAUGGGCCGAAGGAUGGCCACCUGGUUGCUCGUCGCCGCCGCCGUCAUCCUGCCCCUGCUGGCGGCCGCCACGCAUCGCCUGCCGCGGCAUGCUCCAGGUACGCACGAUCGAGUGCCAAGAGAUUUCAGUUACGUGUGAAUGGGUGAUUGAUUUGAUUUCGGUAUUGAUGGUGCUAGGUGAUGGCUUCGGCGCGUGGGGUCGACCGGAGGGGCUGCGCCGUGGAGGGACGGUGCUGGGUGUGGGAGCUGCCAGGCGCCUGGGCCAGAGGACGCCGGUGAAGGCGCCUCCCUCGCCGGACCCCAAUCCCGGCAAGGGCACGUCGACGCGUCGGCUGCCCACGCGCCUCCCCUCUCCUCCCUCCAUCAAAGAAUAGUCUUGGACGGUUUCUCAACAGCAUGCAGAAUAAUGAAAACGGCAAUAGAUAACCAUUGCCAAAAUAAACUAUCUUCCCUUUGUUUUGUCAAGCACAUUUCUAAGUCAUCUCAUAACAGUGCAGAGUUUUUCCAAAAGAUCUGGAUCUAAAGCGACAAUCUCCUC
rnacentral:lncRNA from 1 species